rnacentral:rRNA from 1 species
GACGAACGCUGGCGGCGUGCUUAACACAUGCAAGUCGAACGGACAGGCCCUGCUUUUGUGGGGUGCUCGAGUGGCGAACGGGUGAGUAACACGUGAGUAAACUGCCCUUGACUUUGGGAUAACUUCAGGAAACUGGGGCUAAUACCGGAUAGGAGCUCCUGCUGCACGGUGGGGGUUGGAAAGUUUCGGCGGUUGGGGAUGGACUCGCGGCUUAUCAGCUUGUUGGUGAGGUAGUGGCUUACCAAGGCUUUGACGGGUAGCCGGCCUGAGAGGGUGACCGGCCACAAUGGGACUGAGAUACGGACCAGACUCCUACGGGAGGCAGCAGGGGAGAAUAUUGCACAAUAGGCGGAAGCCUGAGGCAGCAACGCCGCGUGCGGGAUGACGGCCUUCGGGUUGUAAACCGCUUUCGCCUGUGACGAAGCGUGAGUGACGGUAAUGGGUAAAGAAGCACCGGCUAACUACGUG